rnacentral:rRNA from 1 species
AUUGAACGCUGGCGGCAGGCCUAACACAUGCAAGUCGAGCGGUAGAGAGAAGCUUGCUUCUCUUGAGAGCGGCGGACGGGUGAGUAAUGCCUAGGAAUCUGCCUGGUAGCGGGGGAUAACGUUCGGAAACGGACGCUAAUACCGCAUACGUCCUACGGGAGAAAGCAGGGGACCUUCGGGCCUUGCGCUAUCAGAUGAGCCUAGGUCGGAUUAGCUAGUUGGUGAGGUAAUGGCUCACCAAGGCGACGAUCCGUAACUGGUCUGAGAGGAUGAUCAGUCACACUGGAACUGAGACACGGUCCAGACUCCUACGGGAGGCAGCAGUGGGGAAUAUUGGACAAUGGGCGAAAGCCUGAUCCAGCCAUGCCGCGUGUGUGAAGAAGGUCUUCGGAUUGUAAAGCACUUUAAGUUGGGAGGAAGGGUUGUAGAUUAAUACUCUGCAAUUUUGACGUUACCGACAGAAUAAGCACCGGCUAACUCUGUGCCAGCAGCCGCGGUAAUACAGAGGGUGCAAGCGUUAAUCGGAAUUACUGGGCGUAAAGCGCGCGUAGGUGGUUUGUUAAGUUGGAUGUGAAAUCCCCGGGCUCAACCUGGGAACUGCAUUCAAAACUGACUGACUAGAGUAUGGUAGAGGGUGGUGGAAUUUCCUGUGUAGCGGUGAAAUGCGUAGAUAUAGGAAGGAACACCAGUGGCGAAGGCGACCACCUGGACUAAUACUGACACUGAGGUGCGAAAGCGUGGGGAGCAAACAGG